rnacentral:misc_RNA from 1 species
GUGGCGUCCGCUCGCCGGUAAAGGGCUUCUGCAGGGAACCUUUCCGUGUUGCCUGGCCCUUGGUUGCUUGCUUCAGUAGGGUCUUAGUGCCCCCGCCAUCCCCGGCGGCCUGCUCUACGUGAUUGCCUCUCAGAUAAGCACUAGCGCUGGCAGAUCCUCUUUUCUCUUCUGUAUAGAAGCUCUCAAUGUGCCGCAACAACAACAGCGAGGACGGGGACUGUCCUGGCUGCUUCGGGUUCCUAGCCUCGUGGAUUCCAGGGCUGCGCUACCCGACUAAGCGUUGCAUGUCUCAAGACAGGUCGACCUUCUCCAGUUGCAGCUCUGGCUCCAUGGAUACCAAGGGUGCCUCCAACGAUGUCACAGAUGUGGACGACGAGAGCCCCCUGUCAGAGGAGUCACGGUCUUCGUCGACUGGAUCGUGGAGCUCGAUGGGCGAUCUCCAAACCACGGAGAGUGCGGAGAGCGAUGCGCCAUCGGAGGAGUCGGACCCGCAGGAGCGGGUACGACGGGCAACCGCAUCUUUCCUCCAGUGGAAAAACAAGGAGUACGUGCCGCUCAGCCCUGACGAGAAACGUGCCAUCAAGGAGUACCGCAAGACGGUUGCACAAGAGGAAGGGACCUAUACGAGCACGCGGGCGCAACGGCAGCGAGGCGGGGCUCCAAAGGAGCUCAUUUCGCGUGAGGACGAGUGGGUCGAUCUCGGUACUCCGGUCGAGGACGGUGGGCUGGUACGGCGCCGCAAUAGAAAGAUCCGCUUCGUUGCUGCGGUGAUAGCCAGCAAAGAAGUUGACGUGCACAACGAUGGGCUCGUCGUGGUGACAGACACGGGUGAGGAGGUGCCGGAACUGCCGCGUUGCGCCUCGAUUCUGCGGACGUCCUGCGUGAAACAUUUGACGGAGGAGCCGCCGGUGUUCGUGGAGGACUUGAAUAGCUGCAUGCUGGAGGAAGAAGGGCAAUCCUGCGAGUCCGCACUGUGUGUGCCGGGAGUUUCAUAGGUAGGCUUAUAUAUAUAUAUAUAUAUGUUUGCAGCUGCUCUUGCUAUCCCUUGCUUCAUUUGGUUCUCCUUGGGCUUAGCAGCCGUGAAGAGAAGCACGGCCACGCUCAUCGGCACGCUGUGGAUGUCCUCUCCACCACCUUCGCUGCGACUCUCUCCAUCCCCUGCGCUCUCGUCGUCGCCACCGGUGCUUUGGUGGUCUUUUCGCGCUGCUGUGGGGAGGGGGGAGGGGGCGCGUGGCCGACUGGUUUUGUCUGCCCUGUCGCUUUCCCAUUAUCCUUUCGAUUCCCUGUUUGACCUCCCUGUGGAGCUUCAUCACAGCCGGCGCGUAUUUGGUGACGGUGCGUCGGCAUGUUGUCUCUCUGUGAUGUCAUGGGCCCCUUUCGUUCGCUCAUCCUUUUACUGUUCCCAUGGCCGUCGCUUCUUGUUAUUCUUCGCCAACGGGCCCGUGUCUGUGCUUGUAUGGUGUUGUCUUCCGAUCUUCGCAUGUCUUCCUCUUAGGAUGCCCAUGCAUACAUGUAUGUAUAUAUAUAUACGUUUGUACGUGUAUGUGUGUGCCAUUUCACCUCCCAUCCCGCUACUGUCCUUUUCCACGCGUGCCGCUUGACUCACCCCCGCCUCUUUUUCUAUAUGUGCAUGUGUGUUGUGUGUGCCUUUGCGGGCGAAUGAUAGUGUGCUCCGCGUAUGUGUCCAUCCCUCAUCUGUCUGUCUUUUCUCUCUCGAUGUAAUGCCAUGCAUGCUGUAGCGUACUUGUCUGUUGUGCCACCCCUGCGUGUGUGUCUGUUUGCAUCUGUGCACACCUGUGCGCUUCUCUGUCGUUGGGCGUUUUCGCAGCCCGCCUCCCGCAACUACUGCUGCGCGAGAGUCGUGCCUCGCCCCACUUCCUCUCUAACUCGCGCAAGUGUUUUCGCUUCCCUUUUCUUUGUUUUGCGUCUUCGCUCUUCGCCUGCACCCCUCCCCCUCUUUCUCGCUCGUCACGCUCAUCCCUGUAUGCAGACAGACAGAGAGCGAGGAGAGAGGGAGGAAGGAGUGGGGUGGGGGUGAGGGAAGGGGUAAAAGAUGGCGCCUUUGUUUCCCCUUGUUUGCAGUUCAUUAUGCCCGUGAGUACAAACGUGUGAGUGUGUGUGUGUGUGUGUGUAAGGUGUGAUAACGCAUGAGAGGCGCUGUUUUGUUGUUUUGUCGUUACACGCAUUCUCGCAUCCCGACACGUCUCUCUGAGAUGGGCAUGGCUCACUCCGCUCGCGUUGCGGAUGCACCAUCCUAGUCCCCGUUCACCUCCUCACCUCUCCCCUCCCCUACCUCCUCGUGUUUCCCGCACCGUGUCCUUUCAUAUGUGUGCUACGUGACGCUUCUUCGCCUUCCGUCAGUGCACCUCCUCCUUCUCUCCCCUCGCUUUUCCCGUCGCCUUCACUUGACCUCUAUCCACCCUUUUUCUUCCUUACUCUUCCUAUGUCUCGUUGUGCAUCCCAUCGGCAACGUGCGUCAUGGGGGUGUUAGCGGGCGGCAAUGACUCUGUCGUGGCUCACUCGGCUCAACCCUCUCCCUCUGCACACACACACACACGCCCUCCUCAACUUUUCUUUCUCUCCCUCCCUCUGUGCAAUUAAGAUUGUGUCUUGCGAGGGUUCGUCGUUAGAAGCGAAAAGAGAAGGGCUAGCGUGCACGCAGUUGCGCCGCGUAUGCUUCUGUCCCUUGCGUGCGUGUGCCCGUCAUUUUUUCGUUAUCGCUGCCUCCGCGAGAACCGCCGCGGUUGCCGUCUCUACCGAGUAAACUCCUCCUCUCUCUCCUUCUCUCUCCGUGUUUUGUUCUCUCUCGAUCACCAUCCCUGCCUUCGCGCCGUUGUUCGCGUGCAAUGACAGCUUACUCGACGGCAACGGAGUGAAGCCCGUGGCGCUCUCGAGGGCUUCGAAGACGGGCUCUCUUUCUUCAUUUGUUCGUGUUGCUAGCUGUUGUGUCGCGCGCGCACACAGCUGUUUCUCUCGCCCUAUGUGUAUCCUGCUGGCGUUCUCCUCACCCCUGGCGUCCUCUCCGCGGACCGUUUUUUUUUGCUGGUCUGUCACCCUGCUCUGCCAUCACAUCUUGUCAUCCGCUGCGCACGUCGGUGUGCGUGAAUGUGUAUGUGUGUUGUCUUUUAUUCAUUCCUUUUGCCUUUGAUUUCUUUGUUUCGUUGCCCGCUGCGGCUCCCCGAUGCUGCAGGACACCCCAGCGCGUGGCAUCAGGGCCCAAUAUCGACUCUUUGUGUGAACGCCAAAAGUCUGCAGCCUGUCCUCGGGUGCUGGUUUCGGGCUCUUGGUGUCAGCGGACAGGUCGGGGCUGGCGCUGUGCCGCAGAGACUCGCGGCUAUGAUUACGUUUGUGCCCGCUCACUACGAAUCGUGCCGAGGAUUCGACAAAUAUGUGCAUCCGCCGCCUGUCAAAGGCGUGCGGAUGCAGGGGAAGGUGGAGUGUGCCCCGUGCCGCCGCAGACUCACAGCAACGUCUCGCCUGUCGCUGCACAUGCGGGCAAGCCAUCCAGGCACGACUCCAUGGCGUCGGCGGAAGCGGCAGAUGACGGCAGCGAGCCCCCUCCCUAUACAAGCGAGCAGCGCCGUACUGGAGCAGGCCCCAGGAUGCAAGAAUGCGAGUGCUGUGCGCCGGCGCUGUCGAGCACAAGCCGGCAUGGCGUCUUGCAUCCGAGCAAGGCGCGAAGAGAUCUAUACCGAUCAACCCCCCCUCCUCAGUGCAUGUGCGCGAAAUGUGCGACACCUCCUCGAUCCGACUGGGUGGGCUGAGGAGGCACAGAUGCCGGGGGAGGGGGGGGGCAUGACGCGAGCACUCCGAACGGCUGCAUCGAGUCCUCCGGGCUCCCAUGUGGAGAGUCUCCACACCGUAUUACGGCAUGCCGCUGCUUGAGUCGACUGAAAGAGAGGCCUGGCACACAGACAGGGGGUGUGCAGGGUCUCAGAGUGCCCUGGCCUGGGGCCGGCCAACCUCCUCUCUGCGCUCAUCCGGCGCGCACCUGGACCACCCCCUGAUCACCCGCACGACAGACGCCACCGGUUCCGCCCUUGAGCAGUAUGCACGCUUCUCUUGCUCUUUUCUUUCUAUUUCUGCUCUCUUCUCAGAGAAUGUACGCCUGCAACUCCUCUGUCGUUGGACGCGCUCGCACGUGCCUCGGUGGCACGGCUGCUUGUGUUGUGGGUCUUUGCUACUGUGUUUGGUUCUCUACUCCUUGAGACGUCCUGUCGCUGGGUGGUGAUGGCUUGUGUAGUCACUCACGAUUCGUGCGUACGCAUGCGCACAGAUGUGCGCUGUGCACUGGUGUGUUGCUGACCUGCUCGGGCACUGCUUACGUUUGUGGCUCUCCUUGCCGUUCUCUCUGGCUCCGUUUUCUUUUGCCUUCAUUCGGCUAUGCGCUUCUUGCGAAGCGCUCUCUGCUCUGCCUUGGAGCCAGCGCGUGCCGGCCCGCUUGCCUCCCUCCUCUUCUUCUCUCUUGCAUGUCGUUCAAGUAAGAGGGAUGAAGGAGCACAGCUCUCACCGUUCUCUUACUGUGAUUCGCGAACC